rnacentral:rRNA from 1 species
GACGAACGCUGGCGGCGUGCUUAACACAUGCAAGUCGAACGGAAAGGCCCUGCUUUUGUGGGGUGCUCGAGUGGCGAACGGGUGAGUAACACGUGAGUAACCUGCCCUUGACUUUGGGAUAACUUCAGGAAACUGGGGCUAAUACCGGAUAGGAGCUCCUGCUGCAUGGUGGGGGUUGGAAAGUUUCGGCGGUUGGGGAUGGACUCGCGGCUUAUCAGCUUGUUGGUGGGGUAGUGGCUUACCAAGGCUUUGACGGGUAGCCGGCCUGAGAGGGUGACCGGCCACAUUGGGACUGAGAUACGGCCCAGACUCCAACGGGAGGCAGCAGUGGGGAAUAUUGCACAAUGGGCGGAAGCCUGUGGCAGCAACGCCGCGUGCGGGAUGACGGCCUUCGGGUUGUAAACCGCUUUCGCCUGUGACGAAGCGUGAGUGACGGUAAUGGGUAAAGAAGCACCGGCUAACUACGUG